CAUAAUCAUGCCUUACAAAAUGAGCAUCAGCAGCUUAUGCAGUUGUUGUGCUGGCAUGGCUCUCACGAGAGUACCCAAGUUAAAACUUGUGGUGAUAAUCGGGGGCGCCAAAUUUAGAAAUCAAUCCAUGAUUGAAAAAGCUUAUUCUACACCAAUUCGAUGCCGGUCUGUUCACUUUUUAGGUUGUUAUAUCUACUGGAGAGUAGGGUUGGGGAGUUUGCAUCUCUCUCGUCGUAAAUGAAUCGAGAGCAUUUAUAUCGCGAAAGUUGUUUGAGCUUACUCGACUAUGGAAAACUCGUGUCGUGUUUUCCAUGAAACAGGGGACCAAGACUUUUUCAAGGAGCGUGGCACCGAGCUGCUCGACUCGUUCGUUGAUCCUUUAGUGAUCCGUCAUCCCAAGGGUCAUACCAUAACCAGAUUCGGCUCGGGAAAAUUUCAUAGAGAAACUGCAUUCUGAAACUAUGUUAAUGAGUAUUACCUUUUCGUCCUCGAGCAAAUU